CCUACGGGAGGCAGCAGUGGGGAAUAUUGGACAAUGGGGGCAACCCUGAUCCAGCCAUGCCGCGUGAGUGAUGACGGCCUUAGGGUUGUAAAGCUCUUUUCUCCGGGACGACAAUGACGGUACCGGAGGAAUAAGCCCCGGCUAACUUCGUGCCAGCAGCCGCGGUAAUACGAAGGGGGCUAGCGUUGCUCGGAAUCACUGGGCGUAAAGGGCGCGUAGGCGGCUGACUUAGUCGAGGGUGAAAGCCCGUGGCUCAACCACAGAAUGGCCUUCGAUACUGGUUGGCUUGAGACCGGAAGAGGACAGCGGAACUGCGAGUGUAGAGGUGAAAUUCGUAGAUAUUCGCAAGAACACCAGUGGCGAAGGCGGCUGUCUGGUCCGGUUCUGACGCUGAGGCGCGAAAGCGUGGGGAGCAAACAGGAUUAGAUACCCUGGUAGUCCACGCUGUAAACGAUGAAUGCUAGCCGUUGGUCUGCAUGCAGGUCAGUGGCGCCGCUAACGCAUAAGCAUUCCGCCUGGGGAGUACGGUCGCGAAGAUUAAAACUACAAAGGAAAUUGACGG
rnacentral:rRNA from 1 species